AUUGAACGCUGGCGGCAGGCCUAACACAUGCAAGUCGAGCGAGCGGCGGACGGGUGAGUAAUGUAUGGGGACUGCCCGAUAGAGGGGGAUAACUACUGGAAACGGUGGCUAAUACCGCAUACUAUCGGAUAACCCAUAUGGGAUUAGCUCGUUGGUGAGGUAAUGGCUCACCAAGGCGACGAUCCCUAGCUGGUCUGCGAGGAUGAGCAGCCACACUGGGACGGAGACACGGCCCAGACUCCUACGGAGGCAGCAGUGGGGAAUAGUGCACAAUGGGCGCAAGCCUGAUGCAGCCAUGCCGCGUGUAUGAAGAAGGCCCUAGGGUGGUAAAGUACUUUCAGUCGGGAGGCGUUACCGACAGAAGAAGCACCGGCUAACUCCGUGCCAGCCGCCGCGGUAAUAC
rnacentral:rRNA from 1 species